GUCUUGUCAAUGAUGUUCUAAAAUGUCUGAACCAAUGACUAUUGUGUGAUUCAAACAUUUGUACUACCUGAGACAAGAC